rnacentral:rRNA from 1 species
UCUGCCUGGUAGUGGGGGACAACGUUUCCAAAGGAACGCUAAUACCGCAUACGUCCUACGGGAGAAAGCAGGGGACCUUCGGGCCUUGCGCUAUCAGAUGAGCCUAGGUCGGAUUAGCUAGUUGGUGGGGUAAUGGCUCACCAAGGCGACGAUCCGUAACUGGUCUGAGAGGAUGAUCAGUCACACUGGAACUGAGACACGGUCCAGACUCCUACGGGAGGCAGCAGUGGGGAAUAUUGGACAAUGGGCGAAAGCCUGAUCCAGCCAUGCCGCGUGUGUGAAGAAGGUCUUCGGAUUGUAAAGCACUUUAAGUUGGGAGGAAGGGCAGUAAGCUAAUACCUUGCUGUUUUGACGUUACCGACAGAAUAAGCACCGGCUAACUCUGUGCCAGCAGCCGCGGUAAUACAGAGGGUGCAAGCGUUAAUCGGAAUUACUGGGCGUAAAGCGCGCGUAGGUGGUUUGUUAAGUUGGAUGUGAAAG